GGGUUUGGGGUAUAGGGCUUGUUUUCUCUUCGCUCGCUGAGCUCCUUCCUCUUGCUCCUGGUAUCUCACCCCUGCUCAGGGUUCUGUUCUCUUUGCUGUGAACUCCUGUGUCUGAAAUGCCUUUGGGGUUCCUCUUCAUGUUUCCUCUCUUGCCUUACCCCCUUUCUCGUUUUCCCCUUUACUGUUAGUAUUACUACUUUUGAGUGCUCUAAAUGCUGAUUUUUAAAAAACUUGUCUGAAACAGAAAUGUAUUCUCAGAAUAAUGCAUAAAAGCACAGGUCGAGCUAUGCAGAAACUUCCCUCCCUUCUCCUACCUUUUCCCUUCUCUGAAUGCCAGGGAGAAGGACGCAGUUGAAGGAAAUAUGCAAUCAAAACAGUGACCAACUCUAAGGACAAAGGCGUGGUCCAAAAGAACUUACCAUUAUCCAAUUAUGUGAACAGCUUCACUGACCAGGGUUAAGAUGCUGCAGAUGUCUUGUUUCUGUAGGGCGGCUUCUCAGGGCUGCUUCAGGGAGGUAAGGAUGCAGUGCACGUGGGAGACAUCUGUGGCCUGCUCCCUGGGCUUAGGGUAAAGUCGCACAGCUGUGCACCCACUUUGGGACACUCAUUAGUGUCCUCACAAUGGCUGUGCUGCCCGGCCGUUUGCCUCCGCUUUCUGUACUGCUCACUGUCUCACGCACGCACCACCUCCCAGCUCCUUGGUUGCUUUCCACGCUGCUUCUUGCCACCAAGAAUUGGCAUCAAGUGCUUCCAGGCGCUGUUUGCUCUUCUCUCCAUUUAUGGAGACUCAGUCUCUGAUCGCGGCGGAUCCACUUUUGAGAUAGCGGCAUAACUGUUGGCCCUUUACUCUCCGCUCGCAUUUGCCGCUUCCCUCCCAUCAGCAGUGUCGGGACUUGGUUUAGGUUACCUUCUAGCACUCGAGGCUGUACGUUCAUCUACAGAAAUGUUUGUAAUUUUUUUUCCUAAUGGAUUUAAACUUAUAAAUCAUUAAAACCAUUUGAGCUUGUAUCUGUA
rnacentral:lncRNA from 1 species